UACGGGGGGGGCAAGCGUUGUUCGGAAUUACUGGGCGUAAAGGGCGCGUAGGCGGCCUUCUAAGUCGGACGUGAAAUCCCUCGGCUCAACCGAGGAACUGCGUCCGAUACUGAAAGGCUUGAAUCCGGGAGAGGGAUGUGGAAUUCCAGGUGUAGCGGUGAAAUGCGUAGAUAUUCGGAAGAACACCAGUGGCGAAGGCGACUUACUGGACGAUUGUUGACGCUGAGGUGCGAAAGCGUGGGGAGCAAACAGG
rnacentral:rRNA from 1 species